UGGGGAAUUUUGGACAAUGGGGGCAACCUGAUCCAGCAAUGCCGCGUGUGUGAAGAAGGCCUUCGGGUUGUAAAGCACUUUUGUCCGGAAAGAGAACGUCGUGGUUAAUACCCGUGGCGGCUGACGGUACCGGAAGAAUAAGCACCGGCUAACUACGUGCCAGCAGCCGCGGUAAUACGUAGGGUGCAAGCGUUAAUCGGAAUUACUGGGCGUAAAGCGUGCGCAGGCGGUCCGCUAAGACAGAUGUGAAAUCCCCGGGCUUAACCUGGGAACUGCAUUUGUGACUGGCGGGCUAGAGUAUGGCAGAGGGGGGUAGAAUUCCACGUGUAGCAGUGAAAUGCGUAGAGAUGUGGAGGAAUACCGAUGGCGAAGGCAGCCCCCUGGGCCAAUACUGACGCUCAUGCACGAAAGCGUGGGGAGCAAACAGGAUUAGAUACCCUGGUAGUCCACGCCCUAAACGAUGUCAACUAGUUGUCGGGUCUUCAUUGACUUGGUAACGUAGCUAACGCGUGAAGUUGACCGCCUGGGGAGUACGGUCGCAAGAUUAAAAACUNAAAGGAAUUGACGGGGUCAUAGCUGUUUCCUG
rnacentral:rRNA from 1 species